AUAGGCCCCAUUUUUCCCGUGUAAACAGGGUCUUAAUGACUUUUAUGAGAUCUGCUUAUGCGCUUUUGAUUUAUGCUACAUAAAGCAAAAACUUGUUUCUGAAUCCUUGGAGCUAAAUUUUUUAUGGAUCUCAACAUUAUUUCAGGUGUAAAUACUGCAAGCAAUUCACGCCCGUUUGGAAUGAGCUGGCAGCGAGUGUUUUCAAUGAAGGAAUCAUGGUCAAAAUAGCAAAGGUAGAUUGCACAAAGGAAAUAAUACUUUGCAGAGAAUUAAAGAUAUCGCAGUACCCAUCACUUUUGCUCUUCAAAUCACGGCUGAGCUUUGAACAAUAUACUGGCAGCAGAGACUUAAAGAGUCUCUUGCAGUUCUUGAAGCAACGUGAGCAUGAUGAACUGUAAAUCUUUCUACACCACAUUCAUCUAUAAUGUAUGCAGAACUGUUUGCAAAAUACAACAAUCCUUAACAUUAUGUAUGAUACUAUUUAAUAUUGGUAGAAUGGUGUUUUGAAGUAGCUGUGACAAGAUUGUUUUA